rnacentral:rRNA from 1 species
GAUGAACGCUAGCGGGAGGCUUAAUACAUGCAAGUCGAGGGGUAACAUGAGAGCUUGCUCUUGAUGACGACCGGCGCACGGGUGAGUAACGCGUACACUACCUACCUUAUACUGGGGCACAUACACUGGAAACGGAGUAAAUUCCCCAUAGUAUUAUGUUGUAAGAUGUAAUUAAAGUUUCGGCGGUAUAAGAUGGGUGUGCGUACUAUUAGCUAGUUGGUAAGGUAACGGCUUACCAAGGCGACGAUAGUUAGGGGGCGUGAGAGCGUGGCCCCCCACACGGGUACUGAGACACGGACCCGACUCCUACGGGAGGCAGCAGUAAGGAAUAUUGGACAAUGGGCGAAAGCCUGAUCCAGCCAUCCCGCGUGAAGGAUGACGGCCCUCUGGGUUGUAAACUUCUUUUGAAUGGGACGAACCGCCUUCAUUUAUGAGGGUUUGACGGUACCAUUAGAAUAAGCACCGGCUAACUCCG